UUAGCAACCACUUAUUAAAGUUUCCAAGGUGGAAAUGUGGACAAGACAUAUCAUCACAUUUGGGAAAAUCUUGAUAUUUAGAAGGAAAUUCCUUUUAGAAAGUUGAUCUCUAGCCCCUUGAUGAGUCAAUCCACAUAAGAGUUCUGGAGCCUCACAGAAAAAGUCUAAUGCCCCUUUAGCAUGCCUGUCUUUGAGAGAGUUGAAGUUUAGUGGUAUAGCUCCUUAGAGUUACUCUAUUUCCAAUCAAACACCUCCAUCCAUUUAUCCUCCAUUCCCUUAUCAUCUUUGCCACCAUGCUGACUAUCUUCCUGCGGAAGCCACAGACUGACAGUGCUCUUCCUAAACUCUGGUUUAAAAUCAAUUAUACGACAAUUUUAGGCUUCAUCACUGAAAGGAAUUUCUCAACUAGAAAUUCUUAGAAGACUUUCUCAGAAAUAUGCUUGGUACAAGUUGUGAUGGAUGAGAGAGAAAGAAAGGAGGUAAUAGUGAAAGUUUAAUAAAUAAUCAAAACAAAAAUUUCAUCUGGAUCUUUCUUUUAAAGAACACAUUUUUGCCUUUCACCUACCAAGAAAGUGUCCUAAUGUCUAGCAAGUCAACAGCUGCUUUUGUUUUCAAAUGUCUGAUUGGCCAUGUGCAAUUUGUG
rnacentral:lncRNA from 1 species